rnacentral:tRNA from 1 species
GCCGGCGUGGCGAAAUCGGUAGACGCAACGGACUUAAAAUCCGUCGCUUCCUGUAAAGGGGCAUGCGGGUUCGACCCCCGCCGCCGGCACCA